UACGUAGGGUGCGAGCGUUAAUCGGAAUUACUGGGCGUAAAGCGUGCGCAGGCGGUUUUGUAAGCCAGAUGUGAAAUCCCCGGGCUUAACCUGGGAAUGGCAUUUGGGACUGCAAGGCUUUGAGUGCGGCAGAGGAGACUGGAAUUCCGUGGUGUAGCAGUGAAAUGCGUAGAAUAUCAGGAGGAACACCGAUGGCGAAAGG
rnacentral:rRNA from 1 species